GCAUCGAUAGCUCAGUCGGUAGAGCAGUUGACUCUUAAUCAAUUGGUCGCAGGUUCAAGUCCUGCUCGGUGCACCA
rnacentral:tRNA from 3 species